UACGUAGGUGACAAGCGUUGUCCGGAUUUACUGGGCGUAAAGGGCGCGUAGGCGGCCUCGCAAGUCCCGUGUGAAAUCCCUCGGCUCAACUGAGGAAUGGCACGGGAAACUGCGGGGCUUGAGUUCGGGAGAGGGAAGCAGAAUUCCGGGUGUAGCGGUGAAAUGCGUAGAUAUCCGGAGGAACACCGGUGGCGAAGGCGGCUUCCUGGACCGAUACUGACGCUGAGGCGCGAAAGCUAGGGGAGCAAACGGG
rnacentral:rRNA from 1 species